UUGUUUAAUUUUACUUGUUCUCAGACGUCAAUUUUUCAAGCAGUGUUGGCUAAUUCCGGCAGGCGGGGGCCUCUGCGAACAGAGGGUGUCCCCCGCCAGGCGCCGAAUCCUGGCCGCAGUUACAGAGGGUGGGGAUUGUGCCCGGAGGCGGUAAACCCAUUAAUGAUCCUUCCGCAGGUUCACCUACGGAAA
rnacentral:misc_RNA from 1 species